AUAUAUGCUUUAUAGUGAAUUUCCAUUUGUUGACCUGUCUUUCCAGAAAUGUGUGGAAACUAGUACAACUCUACUGAACUUACUUUGUUUCUCACCAGAAUCCUUUGGGGCAACUAGAGAAUUGGAGUCACCACCUGAUGGAGAACUAGAAGACUGACACAAAAAGCAUAACAGAAGGGAGGAGCUCAGAAGAUAGGAUAGCAAUUUAAAAAAUGGUGAUUCCAAAGGGACAGUUUUAGAGACUGCUGCUUGCCUUUGACUCCUCAGGGGGUGGAGCAAACGAUUUCCUUCCUGGAUGGGGCUGUCUAUGGUCAGUGUACAAGAGUUGCUGUAGCAACCCCGCAGCUGUGCUCUGCCUAGCAGAAACUCGAUUGAAAGCUCCCUGAAGGCAAGAUCAUUUCUUGUUCACCGCUGUAGCCAAGAACCCAGCAUAGUACCUGGCCCAUAAGUGGCCUCUCAGUAAAUAUUUAAUAAUUAUACUGCAUGGAAAUACAUUAACCUUAUUUGGUGAACUCAUUUGGAAUGAGCAUAUUGGAUCAAGUACUGUUGUUUCAGGCACCAGUUCAACUACUCUGUUGUUUCAUCUUUUAAGGAUAUGUGACCAUAUUUUAUAUAACCACUAGUUAAGAAUAUUUAAGUAUUUUAUUAUUUUUUGGGGGGGCAACACAGACAACAGGC
ensembl:lncRNA